AGCAGCCGCGGUAAUUCCAGCUCCAAUAGCGUAUAUUAAAGUUGUUGCAGUUAAAAAGCUCGUAGUUGAAUUUCGGGGUUAGUAGGUUGGUCAUGCCUCUGGUAUGUACUGGUCUCACUGAUUCCUCCCUCCUGAUGAACCUUAAUGCCAUUAAUUUGGUGUUUUGGGGAAUUUGGACUGUUACUUUGAAAAAAUUAGAGUGUUUAAAGCAAGCUAACGCUUGAAUACAUUAGCAUGGAAUAAUGAAAUAGGACGUUCGAUCCUAUUUUGUUGGUUUCUAGGAUUGACGUAAUGAUUAAUAGGGAUAGUUGGGGGCAUUAGUAUUCAAUUGUCAGAGGUGAAAUUCUUGGAUUUAUUGAAGACUAACUACUGCGAAAGCAUUUGCCAAGGAUGUUUUCAUUAAUCAAGAACGAAAGUUAGGGGAUCGAAGACGAUCAGAUACCGUCGUAGUCUUAACCAUAAACUAUGCCGACUAGGGAUCGGAUGAUGUUAAUUUUUUAAUGUACUCAUUCGGCGCCUU
rnacentral:rRNA from 1 species